ACUGGGUGUGGUGGUGCACGCCUGUAAUCCCAGUGGCUUGGGAGGCUGAGGCACGAGGAUCGCGAGUUCAAAGCCAGCCUCAGCAAAAGCAAGGUGCUAAGCAACUCAGUGAGACCCUGUCUCUA
rnacentral:sRNA from 1 species